rnacentral:rRNA from 1 species
GACGAACGCUGGCGGCGUGCUUAACACAUGCAAGUCGAACGGAAAGGCCCUGCUUUUGUGGGGUGCUCGAGUGGCGAACGGGUGAGUAACACGUGAGUAACCUGCCCUUGACUUUGGGAUAACUUCAGGAAACUGGGGCUAAUACCGGAUAGGAGCUCCUGCUGCAUGGUGGGGGUUGGAAAGUUUCGGCGGUUGGGGUUGGACUCGCGGCUUAUCAGCUUGUUGGUGGGGUAGUGGCUUACCAAGGCUUUGACGGGUAGCCGGCCUGAGAGGGUGACCGGCCACAUUGGGACUGAGAUACGGCCCAGACUCCUACGAGAGGCAGCAGUGGGGAAUAUUGCACAAUGGGCGGAAGCCUGAUGCAGCAACGCCGCGUGCGGGAUGACGGCCUUCGGGUUGUAAACCGCUUUCGCCUGUGACGAAGCGUGAGUGACGGUAAUGGGUAAAGAAGCACCGGCUAACUACGUGCCAGCCGCCGCAGUAA